GGUGGUGAAGUUUUGAUGGUAAAACGGUGCACUCCAAUUCCACUAAUUGCACGUUCAACUCGUGCCGCCACCG
rnacentral:tRNA from 1 species